GUCUCUACCUAGGGCGCGAUGCCCUUACCGCGAUCGUCCGCCGGCUCGCUGGGUCCCGGCUCUGUGAAAAUAGGGGUGUGAGAACUACAACAAAGUUCCCAGUGGGUUCGGCAACCAACCACGCCGACUAUCCCACUAGGUCUAAUCAGGCAUAAUAGAAUGAAAGAAAGUAAGUAAUCAACUAACAAAUGCAACUAAUAUGCCUGAACAAUAUAAAAUGGUAUGCACAAUGUAAAGCUCAUGAUGGAUGCAAGGUCAUAGUGUCAAUACCCAAUCUCUUGGCUAAUCCGUAGGUUUCGCCCUCAACAAAACUCACCAACUCAAAAUCCCAAUAAUUGGGGAGAUACUCGCUACACCCGAUGGGACCGUCCUCUGGGGAGAUACUCGCUACACCCAGUGAUGUCGACUCCGGAGCACAUCGCCCGAGGGGGAGCUACCACAA
rnacentral:lncRNA from 1 species